rnacentral:rRNA from 1 species
AUGACACCGUUGUCAACAGCACGGUGCAGCGAGGUAGGAAGCCGUGUGCAAGGGAUGAAACUGGCAGCGGUGCGCCAUGACAGGCCCCAGCAGAAUUUUGUAUAUGAGGCUUUGCUGUCUGGAUCUAUAUAUAUAUAUAUAUAUAUAUAUAUAUAUAUAUAUAUAUAUAUAUAUAAAUAUAUAUAUAUAUACAUUUUGCAGGUCAGUGCCCUUACUUACCUUAAAGUUGAAGGUAAAUCUUCAGAAACAACUAUUUUUAGGGUUGGUUCAGUCUGGAACCAAUCUGAAUUUUGUAACAAGGUUCAACAUUGCUCUCUAAAUCUAGAUAUUGUGCAGACCAGUGUCAUUAUUAAGUAG